rnacentral:misc_RNA from 1 species
UUAAGUUCAGCGGGUAAUCCUGCCUGAUUUGAGGUCUAAUCUAAAGUUGACUAGAUGGGUUGGAAGCCUCUACUGAGAUCUCAUUCGGCCACAUGCAAGCACGUGUCCUCAGCGAAUAGUCUAUUACACUGAGUCAAUCCGAGUUCGAAUUAGAGAUGCUAAUGUAUUACGAACGAGCUUCGAUCCGAAGAUCCAGCAAC